rnacentral:lncRNA from 10 species
CUUUGCGUCAGAGCUCUGUGUUACAAAAAAAGGUGAAGUCUUACUCAAUUCAACAGUUUUUAUGCAAAGUCCUCACGGGGAAGAGACUGAUGCCCUGCAAUGCCUCAGGACUCUCCAGAAUGUUUUCACCAGCAAAAAGGCCCUCAGCAGAUGCAGCCUCUCGACCUUGAACUUUCUAGCCUCCAAAAUGAGACAUCAUUCUGGCUGCAUUAUGAAUGGAUGGUUUGGAGGAAGAAUGUGGAUAGCUAAACAAGAAGGAGAAUAGAAAGAAACUACUCUUAAGACUAUUGCAAUAUCCAGGUGCAAUGUGCUUUGUUUCUGACUGCAGACUAUAAUGUUUAUUCCUAUUGGGGGCAGAGCAAGAUUUCAGUUUCUUUUCUCAGCAACAAGAAAAUACUCUGUCUGAAAUCAAGCAACUUCUGGGAAGACCAAGAGUGAUGGAAACUAGAGUUACAAAGCAAAAACCCUACAUCCUGAAUGCCCAGCCCGGUCAAUGAAAUUUUUCUGUCUCAUUUAUCAGCUAACUUGGUCCUCUUCCCCUGGGAACAAAACUGAGAAGGGUUAAGAGAUAAUGUGGAAACAAACUCCCCAGCACUUGCCUAAGAGGGCAGCUGUGUACCCAGACCUUCUUUCCUCUAUGUCAUUGUACUAGAAAGAGAGAGUUCCAUACUCUUUAAUCUGAAUAGUUGGCACUCACUUAAAAAAGAAUGCAGCCUGAUUCCUCUCUGCCCCUCUAGCUAUUUCCAGAAAGUUGUUCAUGGGAUGAAUUGAAAGCCAACAAAGGGAGUUGUUAGUACAUAUUUCCAGGAAUGAAGUUGUCUGGAUGCAGCUAAUGCCUCCAUAGAACUGACAGUGCUGAAUUUACGAAAUGGAAAGAGUUCUGGAAAAGCAAGAAAAAAAGUCUUGUUUGAAACCCCACGUCUACUGUAGGCACAGAAGGGAAUGGAGGCAUCUGAGCAUUUUAUUUUCCAUCUCUACAGCACCUCAGAACACCUACAUUUUAUUUUUUUUCUUCUCAGAAAUGUCUUAAUAAGAGGACUGCAGUGUACUCAAGUUUCCCAAUGACAGGGUAGGGAUGCCAACCUUCUCUUUCAUUGGCAGCUCAUAGUAUCCAAGUUUCUCAAAACCCUAAGCCAUCUUAUUUGUUCUUUGGAACUUUGUGGCCUACCACAGUGCAAUUCUCAUUCGGUGUUUAAUAAAAUAUUUGUUAGCUCUUUUCUAAUUGAGAAGGUUCUGUUCUUUUCGCCUCAAGAAAUCACUUAGAAUACAAAUAGCAGUGCACAAUAAUUAGAUUUCAUUGAAUGUAAUUGAUUUGAAUGUUCAUGAAACAGUGCCUCCAGUAUGUUUUGUUUCACUUAAACUUUGAUGACACUUGAGAAGUUGCCUUGCCUUACCUAUCUGCCACCCCACCACUCCUCAGCAUCCGAUAGGCUGCUGUUCCUGUGCCAUCACUGUUGUUUGUCUGAAAGCCUUUUAAUUCGCUGUGGGUGAAGUUGAAUAGGAG